rnacentral:lncRNA from 1 species
AAUGGUGAACUUGCAGACAGUGAAAAAGAUUAUAAUUUGCUACCCAAGGUGGUAGAGUUCUCCUUACAUAAUGGCGAUCAGAAGGAAGAAAAUACCGAAGCAGAGAUCCCACAUCAUGAGGAACCUGUGAAGGAAAUUCCUCUAACAGAGAGAAAUGUAGUGGAUGUCAAGACAGUUGAAAAUGGUACUGAAACUACAGACAUAAACGAAAAGCCCAAAGUGUGUGAGAGCAAAGAAAAGGACGAUGAUAAUUCAGUGGAAAUUGAAUCUAAGAUAUGGGAAAGCGGCAAGAUUGAAGAGAAGGACUUCCUGGAGGCAGCGGAGAAGGAAUCCGUUGAGGAAGUCGACUCAAAGACGGAGAAUAAUAGCCUGGACCAGAUUAAUGGAUUGUCUUCAAAGGAAGAUACUCCGACAGUACAUCUGGAGAAUGGUGGAAGCUCACCACCAACAAAAGAACAAAGUCACAAGAAGAAGAAGCCUUUGCUCCACAAAUUCGGAAGCUUAUUGAAAAAGAAGAGCUCAAGCAACCCCAAGUGAAAGUGCAGUUAAGUCUUGUUUUAGGAAUGUACAUUAGCUCUAUUUUACACCUGAUUAUUGUGUUUUUUUUAUUUUUAUUUCUUAAAGUUUCAUGCUAUCCUUUUCUUAUCUGCAGAAGUGGAAAGAAGUGUACUGAAAGGCUUGUAUCAUCUUUAGUUUUUUUUUAUAUAUUUUUUGUUAUAACUAUUCUUUUUGUUUUCAUGCAAUGCAAUUCCAAAUUAGUUUAUAUAUUAAUUAACGUGUCAUCUGGUUUUGGUUAAUCCUCCCAGCAAAGGAGUUGAUUCAUUUUCCAUUCAACCACCAUCAGCGCCCUUUUUCUUUUUCUUUUUUUAUCUCCCCUGAAAACAGUAGUUUCACAAUUGUAAUUUCAUGGAUAGUGCAAUGUUCAGAGGACUCAAUUGUAAAAACUGAGUUUAAAGGCCUCGGGUUAUGAACAAAUAUUUUUUGUGAGAAGUGAGCACAUGCGAUUUUCACUACCAUUCCAAACGCACCCCAGCUAUCUAGACACUUCGCACAAAGCGAGACCCUCAAACACGCAAAUAAUAACUCAAACGGACGAUAACAAAAAAAAUUGAAUAGGUUUUCCGAAUUUUGUGGAACAAAACUCAAUUUUAUUAAAGAAAAAACAAACAAAAAAGAUUAUUGAUAGGAAAUUGAAAGAAGAGAAGAAGUGUUGGAUGAAUGGAGAAGGGGCGGUUAGAGAAUUGAGAUAGGAAGAAAGAAGACAUAGAUAGAGAUGGACUGAAAAGGUGGAAAAGGAGAUGGAGACGACUAGGGUUAAAGGAAGAUGAAGCGCCCGACUCUCUCGGAUAAGCACUGAGUACAUGUAUAACACUAUUUUAUUUUCUACAUAUAUAUUACAAUAGUUUUCGGGUUUGAUAUUGUUUUUAUGACAUAAAUAUGUCUUUUUUGACUUUAAUGUUUUAUAUAUUAAUGAGAAAAAAAUUAGAUGCAGCUCUUUUUCUAAUUUACAAGGAUAUUUGCUUUUACCGGCAUUCACUACGAUAAUCACAUCUAUAUUGUCGACACUUAUAUUUUCAAAAGUUUAUAGCUUGAUUUGAUAACUGUAUCACUAUUGAUAAUUUGUGAUAAUUGCAGCGGGAGUACAUAUUUUUGGAGGAUAGAUAUGAGUAUAUGACAAACUCUUGAAAGUUGUUUUUUUUGGGUAAAAAUGUUUACAAAGAGGUCAUAUAUCAAAAGAGAACCACAAAUCCUAAUCCUACUUGAAUGUAGUUUAAAAUAUAUUUAAUUUCCUCCUAUUUCUUUAUUGAAAGCUCAAUUUCAACAAAUAAAUCAAACUUUUUAAUAAAUUUCAACAAAUAAAUCAAACUUUUUAAUCACUAAACUGUAAGGAAUGAGUUGUUUUAUACGGUAUAUAUAUAUAUAUAUAGUAUAUGAUUAUAUCACAAGGAACGGGGAUGAAGGACUGAAGGUAGCUUUAAAUCAUGACAAUAUCGUUUACUUGAACACAAAGAAAUGAUGAAAAUAAUAUAUAUUAAUUAUUUGAUGUAUUCAGUUGUUCAACAGAAAAUGCCGAAGCAGAGAUCCCACAUCACGAGGAACCUGUAAAGGAAAUUCCUCUAACAGAGAGCAAUGUAAUGGAUGUCAAGACAGUUGAAAAUGGUACUGAAACUACGGACAUAAACGAAAAGCCCAAAGUGUAUAAAAGCAAAGAAAAGGACGAUGAUAAAUCAGUGGAAAUUGAAUCUAAGAUAUGGGAAAGCGGCAAGAUUGAAGACAAGGAUUUCCUGGAGGCAGCUGAGAAGGAAUCCAUUGAGGAAGUCGACUCAAUGACGGAGAAUGAUAGCCUGGACCAGAUUAACAGAUUGUCUUUAAAGGAAGAUACUCCGACAGUACAUCUGGAGAAUGGUGGAAGCUCACCGCCAACAAAAGAACAAAGUCACAAGAAGAAGAAGCCUUUGCUCCACAAAUUCGGAAGCUUAUUAAAAAAGAAGAGCUCAAGCAACCCCAAGUGAAAGUGCA